GACAGAGGGUGCAACCGUUGUUCGGAAUUACUGGGCGUAAAGCGCGUGUAGGCUGCUUCGAAAGUCGGAUGUGAAAGCCCUGGGCUCAACCUAGGAAGUGCAUUCGAAACUUCGAAGCUUGAGUUCUGGAGAGGAAGGCGGAAUUCUCGGUGUAGAGGUGAAAUGCGUAGAUAUUGGGAGGAACACCAGUGGCGAAGGCGGCUCACUGGACCGGUACUGACGCUGAUGCGCGAAAGCGUGGGGAGCAAACGGG
rnacentral:rRNA from 1 species